GGGAUCUCAGUGCGAUCACCCUGCGGAGCGGGCAGCCGCGCUCAGGGCUGCGAGGUAAGCGAGGCGCCGCGGCGGCGGGUGUCGGGGACUCGCCAGCGGGCUGGAGCCGUCGACCAGCAGGAUGGCGGGCUGGGGCCGGGGUAUCGUCCCAGCACUGCAGCGUGAGUCGGGGCCACAGCCCACAGCGCUGCGAGUGGGGCUUCGGCGCCGGAGGCGGGGCUUCCGGUGGGUCCUCAUCCGGGGGCCCUUGGUCCACCACCACUGCGCAUGCGUGCAGUCGCGCGACCGGAACUCGCUGGGAAGUGCCUCCCGCCCUCCUGAAAGGAAAAAGCAACUGCGUAGGUUAAAAAAAGAAAAAAAAAAGAAAAUCCAAAAACCCUAAAUAAUGUAAGAGACAACUGAUAAAUGAUCAAAACCAUUUCUAGUAUAUGUCACAGAUGAAAGAUUAGUGUCCAUAAUACGUAGAUGGAUCUUGAAGAUUGAGGGUAACGAAAAAGUCAAUUUAAAGAGGGGACGGGAAUGGCGGACGCGCACCACAUGACGUAAUGCCUGGUUUCUGCUGGGUGGAAGGAUACUCGGUAUCUCUCCAAGAGCCAGAGCGCAGCCCGUGCCUUCACCCCGCCGUGGGACUCCGCUAGUCUGAGGGGAAACAGGCUCACACUUCGGAGUAGGUGAAAAGUGGGAUCACUCCGGUAGAGGGAACUUUGAUGUUGUCCAUGCACUUCGUAUGUAUUUUUCCUGUACCCACUCACCCUUUAGGAACACCGCAGUGGGGGGGCAUGUGAAACCUGGUUGCUCAGUGUAGUGGCCUGCAGGGGCACAGCUCUGCAGACAGCGUCAGAGCCAGCACAACAGUAAUUGGUUGGAUGAAUCCGCAAUGCAGCACCAUUCGGUUGUGCAGAAGAGAUGUCAUCGGAGAGAGGGGUUUCUAGAUUUCACCGGCAAAUGGAAGAAAGCUAGGCAUACACGAAUACUAUAUAACUAUUAUUUUUCUGUGAGAAGGGACAACUAGUAAAAACUUCGUAUUGUUUUUAAUGAAAGAAUGAAGGGAAGAUUUAAAUGAGUUUUGCCAUUCUAAAACCUGGGGUUUAUCUUUAGCCAAGAUUUGUCUAUCCUGAGUCAGGACUAGGUUCAGUCCCCAAUACCUCUCCCCCCAAAAAUAAGAAAAUAAUUAUACUGAAGAAAUGAAAAGUGAAAGAUCUCUUCAAAUACGAAGAAGAUUUAUGGAAAGCAGGGGGAUUGGAUAAGCAAUGUUUAUAAGGAAACAAUGUCAGUGAAAGUGGUACCAUUAUCUUCACUUGUGGUGUCUCUAAAUUGUCAUUUUUUAUUAAAGAAAAUAAACCAAAGUGAAUCCC
rnacentral:lncRNA from 1 species